AAUAUGCUGUGCGAAAAAAAUAGUAAUAAAAGAAUCAUAAAUUCAAUUUGAUUCAAGAUUUAUUGAAUGUGAGUUGCGUUCAUGCGAUUGUCGAACAGCGGCAGCAGCCAAGCAGUCAAAGUUAUGGCAAAAGCUUUCGCUUACUCAGUCCUUGCUAUCAGACACACAUUCAAACACACUGACACACUCACUUUGAUAUAAAUCAUCGACUCUCGUGCUCUCUCUUGCGCGCUCGGCUCUCACAUGGCUUUAUAUUGCGUUGGCAGUGCACGAAUCAACUCAGUCGAUGACAGUCGGCCAGGCACGCAAGUCGCUUCAGCCAACGCUUCAGGAACAGCAGCAGCAGCAGCAGCAGCAGUCGCAGUAGCAGAGCAGCAGUCGCAGCAGCAACAGUCAAAGCCAAACUACAAGUCGUGUCGUGUGACAAGCUUCAGCAGCAGCUUAACCGUUACUUUUGGUUCGUGUUUCGGAAGAGUCGCUUGAAAUUCGAAGAGAUUGCUUAAAGUCGUGCGUCGCUUUUUUUUUUUUUUUAAUCGCUUCUAUGCCUUUUUAUGUUGCAAAUUUUAAUCUAAUUUCAUUCGCAUUUUUCUUUGUGUGCACUAUUCGCGCGUCUUUCUUCUUCUUCAGUUCUUUGAGCAAUUGAGCUUGUACCGCGCGGUAACGAUAAAGAUUGAGAAGAAGAGCUUAAACCCAAAAACACAAUAAACUGAUACAGGACAUCGUCUAUUUGCGAGGGUUUCGCGCAAAUAAAGCCAAUUAAACGGAAAAUAGACGCAGCGAAGCUAAGAUCUUCGGGCUCCUGUUGAGGCAGACGGUUUCCACUUAAACGUCCGAAUGAG
rnacentral:misc_RNA from 1 species